GAUCCUGGCUCAGGAUGAACGCUAGCGACAGGCCUAACACAUGCAAGUCGAAGGGCAGCGAAGAGGUAGCAAUACCUUUGUCGGCGACCGGCGCACGGGUGAGUAACACGUAUGCAAUCCACCUGUAACAGGGGGAUAACCCGGAGAAAUCCGGACUAAUACCCCAUAAUAUGGGCGCUCCGCAUGGAGAGCCCAUUAAAGAGAGCAAUUUUGGUUACAGACGAGCAUGCGCUCCAUUAG
rnacentral:rRNA from 1 species